rnacentral:rRNA from 1 species
UACGAAGGGUGCAAGCGUUACUCGGAAUUACUGGCGUAAAGCGUGCGUAGGCGGUUGUUAAGUCCGCUGUGAAAGCCCUGGCUCAACCUGGGAAUUGCAGUGGAUACUGGCAAGCUAGAGUGCGGUAGAGGAUGGUGGAAUUCCCGGUGUAGCGGUGAAAUGCUUAGAUAUGCCAUAGAACACCGAUUGCGAAGGCAGCUUGCUGGACCUGUAUUGACGCUGAGGCACGAAGCGUGGGAGCAACAGG